GUCGUAACAAGGUUUCCGUAGGUGAACCUGCGGAAGGAUCAUUACCACACCAAAUAAAACAACCCCACGUGAAUGUAUUCUGUAUGAGCUUUGUGUGAUGUGUCUUCGGACAUGUUGCUAAGCGAAGGUUCUCCGUCAAAACGAGAACCGAUUUACUUUUAAACACCCUUAUUUUAAAUUGUACGGAUUAUAUUGCAAGCGUGAAAACGAAUGCUCUUAAUUAAAUACAACUUUCAACAGUGGAUGUCUAGGCUC
rnacentral:misc_RNA from 1 species